UACGAAGGGGGCGAGCGUUGUUCGGAUUUACUGGGCGUAAAGGGCGCGCAGGCGGUUCUGUUUGUCGAGUGUGAAAGCCCCGGGCUCAACCUGGGAACUGCGCUCGAAACGGCGGAACUAGAGUUCGGGAGAGGAGAGUGGAACUGCGAGUGUAGAGGUGAAAUUCGUAGAUAUUCGCAAGAACACCAGUGGCGAAGGCGGCUCACUGGCCCGAUACUGACGCUGAGGCACGAAAGCGUGGGGAGCAAACAGGG
rnacentral:rRNA from 1 species